AUUGAACGCUGGCGGCAUGCCUUACACAUGCAAGUCGAACGGCAGCGGGCCUUCGGGUGCCGGCGAGUGGCGAACGGGUGAGUAAUGCAUCGGAACGUGCCAUUGAGUGGGGGAUAACGUAGCGAAAGUUACGCUAAUACCGCAUAUUCUGUGAGCAGGAAAGCAGGGGACCGCAAGGCCUUGCGCUCUUCGAGCGGCCGAUGUCAGAUUAGCUAGUUGGUGAGGUAAAGGCUUACCAAGGCGACGAUCUGUAGCGGGUCUGAGAGGACGACCAGCCACACUGGGACUGAGACACGGCCCAGACUCCUACGGGAGGCAGCAGUGGGGAAUUUUGGACAAUGGGCGCAAGCCUGAUCCAGCAAUGCCGCGUGAGUGAAGAAGGCCUGGUGUAAGCUCUUCUAGUUGUAGAAGAAAAAGUACGUAGACUAAUAAUACAU
rnacentral:rRNA from 1 species